rnacentral:lncRNA from 1 species
AGAAAAAAUAUUAACAAUAGAGGAAAUAAGAACAGUUACUUAAGCAUCUAUAAAAAGUGUAAUGUAGAUAUGUGUAGAUGAAGUGUGGCAAACAAGGAACAUUUAAAAUAGUUAAAAUAUGUAUGUGCCCCCAGUUACCAUCUUCAAUACUUUUAGAUUUAUUAACAGUUGGUAUUUGUUCUCCUGCAAGAAAGUUACUGCUUGAAGAAGUGCCUGAAAAGAAGUAAACCAAACACUUUAAUAGUAUAGCUAAUAAUUAGGUACGCUGGUCCACAUUAGAGUCCUUAAUUUCCUAUACAAAGCAUAAUACAACUUUUAUUAUUUCAUUUAAGGGGAAUAAAGGCGCAAAAAGUCGCCUGUCAAAGUUUUCAAUGUGUUUUAAAUAUAUUCAUUUUUUUGCAUCCUGAGAAAACUAAUAAGUAUUUUUGAAACAUUUAAACGCAGAACGAAAGACUACGUUAUUGCCUAGGGCCAAAUAUGGCAAAAGUUAUGUUGUAUUAGCCUGCUUAUUGUGAUGCAUUUUCCAACAACAAAACGUAAUAUCGGUCUUCUUCUAUUAGACUGAGACAUUUUCAACGAUAUUAUUUAUUAAAUUUUCACUUAAAUAGCUGUAUUAUUUACACA